CCUACGGGUGGCAGCAGUAGGGAAUCUUCGGCAAUGGGGGCAACCCUGACCGAGCAACGCCGCGUGAGUGAAGAAGGUUUUCGGAUCGUAAAGCUCUGUUGUAAGUCAAGAACGGGUGUGAGAGUGGAAAGUUCACACUGUGACGGUAGCUUACCAGAAAGGGACGGCUAACUACGUGCCAGCAGCCGCGGUAAUACGUAGGUCCCGAGCGUUGUCCGGAUUUAUUGGGCGUAAAGCGAGCGCAGGCGGUUUGAUAAGUCUGAAGUUAAAGGCUGUGGCUCAACCAUAGUUCGCUUUGGAAACUGUCAAACUUGAGUGCAGAAGGGGAGAGUGGAAUUCCAUGUGUAGCGGUGAAAUGCGUAGAUAUAUGGAGGAACACCGGUGGCGAAAGCGGCUCUCUGGUCUGUAACUGACGCUGAGGCUCGAAAGCGU
rnacentral:rRNA from 1 species